rnacentral:rRNA from 1 species
GACGAACGCUGGCGGCGUGCCUAAUACAUGCAAGUAGAACGAGCGGCGGACGGGUGAGUAAUGUCUGGGAAACUGCCUGAUGGAGGGGGAUAACUACUGGAAACGGUAGCUAAUACCGCAUACCAUCAGAUGUGCCCAGAUGGGAUUAGCUAGUAGGUGGGGUAACGGCUCACCUAGGCGACGAUCCCUAGCUGGUCUGAGAGGAUGACCAGCCACACUGGAACUGAGACACGGUCCAGACUCCUACGGGAGGCAGCAGUGGGGAAGAUUGCACAAUGGGCGCAAGCAUGAUGCAGCCAGGCCGAGUGUGUGAAGAAGGCCUUCGGGUUGGAAAGCACUUUCAGCGGGGAGGCGUUACCCGCAGAAGAAGCACCGGCUAACUCCGUGCCAGCCGCGGCGGUAAUUC